GAAAAUAACGAAAAUCAAACCAGACCAAGCACUGGUAUGGACACAGUGAAGACUGCUGGGUAACUUUCCCUGUACAGAACCCUAAAUAAUCUCUCAAAGUAAUUCAUUCUUCUGUUGUUAACACAGUGGGAAAGCAACCAUGGACAAGAAAACAGGGAAAUCGGCCUUACCCUGGGCUGCAGCCGUGAACAUGGAGGCUACCUUGGCUCUGCUGAAAAAUGAAGCCAAUAAGUACAUGCAGUCAGUGUUCUUAAUCACUCGCCAUCUCUCUAGCCCUGACAGAACAUCUUAGAACAAACAAGAAAAAUACACUAAAGAAAAAGGGAUAACCAAUCAAUCUAGAAAGUUUCAGAGUCUUUUUUUUUGUUGUUGUUGUUGUUGUUGUUGUUGUUUUUUUCGGAGCUGGGGACCGAACCCAGGGCCUUGCGCUUCCUAGGUAAGCGCUCUACCACUGAGCUAAAUCCCCAGCCGAAAGUUUCAGAGUCUUAACAAGUAAAUAUAUUUAUACUAUGAUAGGCUUUUCAGCCCCUUAGAUGGCUUUUCCAGGAGGAUACAGAAAAGUUAGCAUCCUCACCCACACCCCUCUCACGCUGCAAUAGCUGAGCAGCUUGUGGUACAUAACCCAGUGCUCUGUCACAAGUGAGGGGACAUUCAGGACCCUUCACAGCAGUACCAAGAGCGGGAAGUUAAGGCACCUUCUCUAGCAGACAGAGAAAGUCAGACUUCUAAGCAUACUGUUCUGUGAAUGAGUUCUUUGAUGAGCUGAAAAACAUGCUUACCAAACCAUCUGCUUAAAGAACAGAAAGGUUAUAGGAAUAGACUCCUGAGCCCUCCUAAGGUGGCAAAUAUGACCAUGAGAAUACCCAUCUCCAUCAAAGCAACUCCCACAGGCAUGCACUCCAAUAAGCCCCUCCCUCUGUCCAAAACAAUCCAAAAGAAAACAGCCCAAACAAAUGAAAUGAAAUGCUUGUGGGUCUGGAGAAAUGGCUCAACUUUUCUUCCUAAGGAAGAACCAGGUUCUAUUCCCAGCACCUACAUGGCAGCUCACAUCUGCCUGUAACUCCAGUUCCAGGGGAUUCAAUAUCCUCACACAGACAUAUAUGCAGGCAAAAUACCAAUGCAGGAAGGAAGGGAGGGAGGGAGGGAGGGAGGGAGGGAGGGAGGGAGGGAGGAAGGAAGGUGGUUCUAGUGUUCUACCUCAGCUUGUCUUUGUUAGUUAGCUCUCUCUCUCUCUCUCUCUUUUUUUUUUUUUUUUUCCGGAGUUGGGGCCCGAACCCAGGGCCUUGAGCUUGCAAGGCAAGCGCUCUACCACUGAGCUAAAUCCCCAACCCCUAGUUAGCUCUCUCUUACCCCCACUCUCAUGUCUAGGUUCAAUUAACUGAUGCUUAAGUCAAAAGCCGAUCAGGAGGUGGGUGUUAUCACCAAAUAAUUCCAGGAGAAAACUUGGUUUUUAGCUAGUGUUGCACAUCUGUUGAAGCAAGUUCAAGGGCAGCCUCAGUCACACGAGACCCUCUCUCAAAAUAAAAAACAAACAAAAAACCCUCCAAGAUAUAUGUAUUUGUUUUCGUGCCCCCAACCUGAAAAUAAGAGCAUUUUUCCUUACUCUGAACUGUUCCAUGUAACUUAAAUCUAACAAAAUAGAACAUGAGCUAGGAGACUGAAGCACCUUGUAACUGGGUCUGGACAGCGGGCAACCUCACAAGGUGACACAGGUGCUUACUUCAGCAGUAAGAGGCUUGGGUCAAGAAAAGCUUCCUGAGGCAGUAGGUGAAGGUUGAGAAGUAGUCACAUUCUCAAUCACAAAAAGGAUAUACAGUAGUCAAUGGUAAAAAUUUGUACUAGCCAAGCCUGAAGACAUGCCUUUAAGCCCAGAAGCAGAGGCAGGGGGAUCUCUUGAGUUCAAGGGUAGCCUGGUCUACUUCGAGUUACAAGCCAGUGAAGUUAUACAGUUAAUGAAAAAAUGAUUAAUUUUUAAAAAUUAUACUGGAUAAGUUCAAAUCUCUUCAAAAAGUAGCAAUGACUUACAACAGAAUUUUAGAUAUGCCUUCAACUAAUCCUGUUAUCAAGGUAGACACAAAAAUAGAAUCUGCUCCCUUGGAGUUCACUAGUUGCCAUAGAAAUGGCAUCAAAAUGCAUUACUUUCGGGGUUGGGGAUUUAGCUCAGUGGUAGAGCGCUUGCCUAGGAAGCGUAAGGCCCUGGGUUCAGUCCCCAGCUCUGAAAAAAAGAACAAAAAAGAACAAAAAAAAAAAAAAAAAAGCAUUACUUUCAGGUGAAGAAAUAUACUAUGGGUGCUGAAAAACAAAAGCCUUAUUAAAUCUAGUAUAAACUUACACCCUUUAAUGAUAAAAAGCGGUGCAAGAACAACCCCAAAACACCACCCAAAUAAAUAAAUGCCCUAAGCCCGAGAGAAGACUUUUCCAUCAUUUUAACACAGAACACCAAACCAUGGGAGAAUCUACGCAAAGUGGACUGCCCUCUCCUCCAGGGCCCAGCCACCAUAUUCUGUGCCUCCAGGUUCUAGUUCUGUCCUACAGAGUCUGAAUUCAUAGAAUCCACACACAUCCCCAAUACAGCACUUUUCAUGUUUCUAUUGUUCCUUUUUCAUUCUAAGACAUGUUUUUAAAACAUGACAUCCAACAACCCACAGGAGUCCCUCCUGGAGCUGGCUCACUUCCUUUCCUGUGUCCUCUUAGAGAGACAUCUAUUAAAGAGGGGAGGGGAUCUUGAGUUACAGAGGUAAAAGAAUACGUGACUACUGCAGCAGGACCUAGAUGGAAAAUAAGCACCAUGACACAAUGAAUACCACAGAAGUGGGCUGGAGAGAUGGCUCAGCAGUUAAGAGCACUGACUGCUCUUCCAGAGGUCCUGAGUUCAAUUCCCAGCAACCACAGGGUGGCUCACAACCAUCUGUAAUGGGAUCUGAUGCUCUCUUCUGGUGUGUCUGAGGACAGCUACAGUGGACUCACAUACAUACAAUAAAUUAUUCUUAAACAAAAACAAACAAACAAACAAACAAACAAACAAAAAACCACAAAAGCCCUCUCAAUGAGUUAACAGUAAGGAUGUAAAGUGCUCCUCCAAUCCAUCCACUGUUUAGAGCUACCUGCUCACUAACAAAUAUUUAUAAGGGCUGCUUCUGAGUUUUGAUUGCCUCUCUCUUACCCGCCCCCCCAAAAAAGUUGCUUGUAAGAUAAAGAGGAGACUGCACACAAAGCAAUAGUUGGCCUGAGGAUGACUUCAUCACCUCAUUUCUGUCAUUUGAAAUGUGUACUACUGGAUCUCUCACUCACCCACUCAACAAAUAACUUAUUUAUUACAUAUUCUGUUGCUCUACAAGGCUUUUUAAAGAUCUGAUUCCAAAACAUUUGUCCUCACGGCCCCAGACAGACAGCCCCUUGGGAAUAAAGUAGAUGCUAAGAAAAGAGGAAGAGGAGGAGGAGCAAAGGAUUGAGAGCCAGGUGAGGUGAAAUGGGACUUUUAUACUGAGGCUCUGUGGUGUAUCUUUUCUCAUUCCCUCCACAGAAUAAUAAAUGGAAAUGGCACUACACAGUCCACCAAGGGGAAGAAAUGUCCCUCACUAGAACAUGCCAUUCAAGUGCUAAGUAAUCUAAACCUGAUUUCCCAGCUUUAAGAUAAGACUGUGGAAUCUCAGCUACAGCUUCCAGUCUUCAACAGCUACAAUCCCAAGUGUAAAGCUAAAGAAAAAGUAGUCAAUCUAUUACUUUGCAUAAGACAAUUCAUUAAGCCAAGCCUACAUUACAACUUUGGUGGUUCAUUGUACAUUUUGCUAUUUUACCUACUAAUUGCUAUGCCAACAAUAAUGUGCGAUCCUGAAUCCCAACCUCUCAAGCAAGUUACAGUGAGCAAACCCAGAGGCUUAUGCGGCUGCAUUUUCAGAUAUACACAAUUCCUUCUGUGCAGAGGGGCAUCCUCCUAAAUAGACCCUUUAAUUAAGCAUUGCUGAGUGAGAGGCACAGAACAACCCAGUCAGAAUUUUUAUCUCUCCAGUAUGUUCUAUAUUUAGAACAAAGAGAAGUCAAAAAGAGAAGCCACUAUGCAUAAAUUGAUCUCACUCAGUUUACUCUCAUUUUUUCUUUCUUUCUUUUUUUUUUUUUUUUUUUUUGGUUCUUUUUUUUCGGAGCUGGGGACCGAACCCAGGGCCUUGCGCUUCCUAGGCAAGCGCUCUACCACUGAGCUAAAUCCCCAACCCCUUACUCUCAUUUUUCACCCCAAAACUUGAUCUUUUUCACUUUAUAAAUUAUGGAACCAAUAACAAGACCAGACACAAACUGAACAGUAGAGACUUAGCCUCAGCCAACAACAAAAGGGAGAAAUUCACCUCCAAAUCACUCUCAACUUCAAGGGAUGGAGGUUACAGAUGUAAAGUAAAAUAAAUGAGGUGGGAUAGGCUAACAGAGGAAAAGAAUGUUCACAUCUUUUGGAAAAUUUUUAGGAAUUCGGGUGGCAUCACUUUCUUCCAUCUCAACAGAGGCCACGGUACUCAUCAACUGUCAUAUGCUUAGGGUAGGGCACAAUUCCACUCGGAGGGAAUUAUAAAUAAGUAAUUCCUUACUUAAUCUUACUUAAUCUGGCAGUCAUUCUCACAGCCAUUUUAAUUAUUUAUUUUUAUGUAUAUUGAUGUUUUGCCUAUGUGUAGGUCUGGGUGAGGGUACUAGAUCUCCUGGAACUGAGGUCACAGUUUUGAGCUGUCCUGUGGGGGGUCAGGAAUUGCACCCAGGUCCCCUGGAAGAACAGCCCAUGCUCUUAAUGAACUAUCAUUUAUCUCUCCUGCCCCACUGAAAGUCAUUUCCAAGUCUAGUUUCAGCUAGAACCUACUACAGAAAGACUUCUACACCAUAGACAUCCUGUCCCACAAAGAUAACAUUAAGGAAGGUAGGUGCUUCUCAACCUUGAUAAUGCUACAGCCUCAUGCUGUGGUGACCCCCAAUUAAUUUGCUGCCAGUUCACAGCUGUAGUUUACUACUUUUAUAAAUUGCGUAUUAUUUUUUGAUAGAUGAGACCCCCAUGAUAGGGUCAUUCUC